rnacentral:rRNA from 1 species
UUCGCAAUGCCCGAAAGGGUGACGAAGCGACGCCGCGUGGGUGAGGAAGGCCUUCGGGUUGUAAAACCCUGUCAGGAGUUAUGAAAUGUAAGUGCGCUAAUAUCGUGCUUAUUUGACAAAGGCUCCAAAGGAAGCCACGGCUAACUCUGUGCCAGCAGCCGCGGUAAUACAGAGGUGGCAAGCGUUGUUCGGAAUUAUUGGGCGUAAAGAGCACGUAGGUGGAUUUGUAAGUCAGAUGUGAAAGCCUUCUGUUCAACGGAAGAAUUGCAUCUGAAACUACAAACCUUGAGUGUAGGAGGGGAGAAUGGAACUUCUGGUGGAGCGGUGAAAUGCGUAGAUAUCAGAAGGAACGCCGGCGGCGAAAGCGAUUCUCUGGCCUAUUACUGACACUCAGUGUGCGAAAGCUAGGGGAG